CUUUGGUGGACGCUGGGAAGAUACCUAUUUGAAAACUGGUCCCAAAUGAAUUUCCACUGGACUGUAAGCUCCAUGAGGACACAGCUGGUGUCUUGUUUUGGACAGGGCAUCCCUAGUGCCUAGGUCACAAAUCUGUCCUUGGUAAAAUUCAAUGGAAAGAGUCCACAGGGGAGAAAUCUGAGUGACAUAGCAGAUGCCUCUGAUGCCUGCACGUGCCACAUCCCUUCAUUUACCUCUGAAUCAGCUGCAGCUUCCAUGGACUCACCUCGUGUUGCUAGCUACCCACCUCAGAUAUGCAAGGCUGCAAGGUGGACAACUGUGGCAGGCAUCCUGUAUGUGUAGAAGUGAUUUCCUGUUGCUCACAGCAGCAACCCCGG
rnacentral:lncRNA from 10 species